GUACUUGCUUCGGCAGUACAUAUACUAAAAUUGGAACGAUACAGAGAAGAUUAGCAUGGCCCCUCCACAAGGAUGGCACGCAAAAUCGUGAAGCGUUCCACAUUUUC
rnacentral:snRNA from 1 species